UACGUAGGGACCAAGCGUUGUUCGGAUUUACUGGGCGUAAAGGGCGCGUAGGCGGCGCGGUAAGUCACUUGUGAAAUCUCUGAGCUUAACUCAGAACGGCCAAGUGAUACUGCAGUGCUAGAGUGUGGAAGGGGCAAUCGGAAUUCUUGGUGUAGCGGUGAAAUGCGUAGAUAUCAGGAAGAACACCGACGGCGAAGGCAGCUCGCUGGGACGGUACUGACGCUGAGGCGCGAAAGCGUGGGGAGCGAACAGG
rnacentral:rRNA from 1 species